UACGUAGGGUGCAAGCGUUGUCCGGAAUUAUUGGGCGUAAAGAGCUCGUAGGCGGUCUGUUGCGUCGGCUGUGAAAACCCGGGGCUCAACCCCGGGCCUGCAGCCGAUACGGGCAGACUAGAGUUCGGCAGGGGAGACUGGAAUUCCUGGUGUAGCGGUGAAAUGCGCAGAUAUCAGGAGGAACACCGGUGGCGAAGGCGGGUCUCUGGGCCGAUACUGACGCUCAGGCGCGAUAGCGUGGGGAUCAAACAGG
rnacentral:rRNA from 1 species